rnacentral:rRNA from 1 species
UACGGGGGGAGCAAGCGUUGUUCGGAUUUACUGGGCGUAAAGGGCGCGUAGGCGGUCAGCACAAGUCAGUUGUGAAAUCUCCGAGCUUAACUCGGAAAGGUCAACUGAUACUGUGCGACUAGAGUGCGGAAGGGGCAACUGGAAUUCCUGGUGUAGCGGUGAAAUGCGCAGAUAUCAGGAGGAACACCGGUGGCGAAGGCGGGUCUCUGGGCCGUAACUGACGCUGAGGAGCGAAAGCAUGGGGAGCGAACAGG